rnacentral:rRNA from 1 species
AGAAUCAACGCUGGCGGCGUGCCUAACACAUGCAAGUCGAACGAGAAAGUGGAGCAAUCCAUGAGUAAAGUGGCGCACGGGUGAGUAACACGUGACUAACCUACCCUUGAGUGGGGGAUAACCUAGAGAAAUCUGGGCUAAUACCGCAUAAUACCUUCGGGUCAAAGGAGCAAUUCGCUUAAGGAGGGGGUCGCGGCCGAUUAGUUAGUUGGCGGGGUAAUGGCCCACCAAGACUAUGAUCGGUAUCCGGCCUGAGAGGGCGCACGGACACACUGGAACUGAAACACGGUCCAGACUCCUACGGGAGGCAGCAGUGGGGAAUUUGCGCAAUGGGGGAACCCUGACGCAGCAACGCCGCGUGGAGGAUGAAGUCCCUUGGGACGUAAACUCCUUUCGAUCGGGACGAUAAUGACGGUACCGAGAGAAGAACGCCCCGGCUAACGUUCGUGCCAGCAGCCGC